rnacentral:lncRNA from 1 species
CUCAGGACCUGGUCUAAUCCACUCUCCCCCAGACCCCAGAGUGGGUCAGGCAACACUCACUCCUGUCCUCCUCUCCACACGCAGUGCACACCAGGCACAAGCGGAGCAGAAGCCCCACUGGCUGUCCUGACAGGCGGGGCCUCCACAGCAAAGACAAGAAGAGGCAGGGACCACCCUCCCCAGCCCAGGCGAGAGCUAAGGACUGGUUUUUCUCCUCCAGAGCAGGACUUGACCGCAGAGGAGCCUCCAGACGUGCGGCUUGCCAGGGAGACCUGGCUGAAAUGGAAGGGGCUGCAAGUGUCCAGAGUCCUAGCCACGACGGACAGGCUGUCUGCCACAGGCAAGAUGGAAUAAUCUCCCCCAAGGAAGACCAGCCUCUGAAAGAGAAGGGGGGCGAUCGCCAUUCCUCCGAAAGACACAGAGAAAAAGGAAGCCUGGAGACCCGAGAGGGCUCUCGGAGCAAAGCAGUGCACACCAGGCACAAGCGGAGCAGAAGCCCCACUGGCUGUCCUGACAGGCGGGGCCUCCACAGCAAAGACAAGAAGAGGCAGGGACCACCCUCCCCAGCCCAGGCGAGAGCUAAGGACUGGUUUUUCUCCUCCAGAGCAGGACUUGACCGCAGAGGAGGUAGGUUUCUGGGCAGGCGCUUGGCACAGGUGGGGAUGUGGGUGCAGGGCCUGAGGGUCGCAACAAGCCCCCAGCAGGCAGGUAGGUGGGGAGACACGCUGCCCCUGGUGCGGGGCCCCUGGUGAGGGGCCCCUAAAGCCCUAACAGGCUGGGAGGAAGGCAUCCAGGUGUGGGCCCCGGUUCCCAGCAGAUCCUGGAAGGGGCCCCAGGGUCCGGUGCGGUGGAGAGUGGGUCGUGGGGGAAGGAGGGUUGGGAGUCUCCAUGGGGAAGAGGUUGUUGGUCGACCCUGACAAGGAAUCCCAGGGCGGGCGAGGGUGCAGCGCAUAUCACCUGAACUCCUCCCGCUCUGCCUCCCGCGCAGGUUCUGCCCACACGCCUCGGCGCCCGGCCCGGCCCGCCUCUCCCAAGCCUCGUCGCGGAUCCUCGUGUCCCGAAGCCCGCGUGCCCGCGGCGGCGCUCGCGUCCGAGCUCUGCAACCAGAUGGGCGCCCUGCAGGUGGCCCUGGGCGAGCUGCGGGCCCCGGGGGGCGCCUACCUGCCGGUGCCCUCCCGCUGCACGGAGCC